CCAGGAGGGCCCCGGGAGACGGGCAGCUAUAGGGGGUUCUUGAGGGGGCCUGACCGCGGUGUUUGUGAGCGUCAGGGCGGAGGAGGCGUGGGCCUUGAAAGAUGGGGGCGAUCUGCCCGGUGGAGAUGUGGGUGCCCCAGGCAGAGGGCAUGAGGUGAUGGAAGCAGGGGGAACGAACUUGCUGGGGUUGAGGACUGGAGGAGUAGGAGGGGAGCCAAAAAGGUCCCGGGCCAGAUCGGUGCCCUGCAGUCCGCUGGGUGUGCGGCGGCUGCGAGGUCGGGCUCCUGCGCUCAGCAGCCGUGUGGCAUGGCCAAGGUAGCCUUUCUGAGCCUCCGUGUCCUCAGCUGUAGGUGGGACAAUAGCUCACUGGUGUGAGGAUUUAUAGUGUAGGUGAAACUGGGGUGCCAUUCCUAGCAUGGUGCUGCUUAACAAACUUAGUCCUUUUCCCUCCUGGAAGGAGAAGGGAGUUGUGAGGCAUCGUUGGACAGUUUACAAAGACAGCCAAGAGCCAAAUAGAGUCCAGCAGAAUACGUCUCCCAGAGUCAAAUAGAACAGUCGCUGGCCUGGCCGCCACCUGCGUCUGGGAUGCACAUCCUGCCACAGAUUGGGGCUGCACCAAGACUUAGAUCUCAGCUUGUCUGUUCUUUGUUAAGGACCCUUACAGAUCACACAGGACACUUACUGAUACUGAUUGCAUCCGAAUGGGUGAACACUCACAGAGACACACAGUUGAUGACUUUCUCUCUCUCAUAGGAAUACAUUAGAAACCUGCAGAGGAGAAGGACAGCCGGAGGAGCGGGUGCCAGCGGCAGACAGUCAACACGGGAGGACUGCUGCGCUGUCUUGAGAGAGUGAACACUCCUUAUUUCACCUCGAUUCAAGUGUAGAAAUUUUGGAGUCAAGAGUGCCUGGCUUCAAACCCUGGCCGUGCCGUUUACCAGCUGGGGGACCAUGGGCAAGUUAAUUAACUUCUCCGUGCCUUUGUUUUUUGCUCUGUAAAGUGGGGAGUCUUACAGUGCCUAAUUCAAGGGUACUUAACAAUUAAAUAAGAUACGGUUCAGAAAGCACCUGACAAGAUACAUGGACAAACAAAAUGUGGUAAUAUACACACAAGGGAAUAUUAUUCAGCCCUAAAAAGGAAGGAAAUCCUGUCGCAUGUUACGAUGUGGAUUUACCUUGAAGACAUUAUGUUAAGUGAAAUAGCCAGUCACAGUAAGACAAAUGCUGUGUGAUUCCACUGAAGCCUGGCAGCUUCCUCCCUCGUCUGCCUUCUCCUCGGAAGCUCAUCAGCAGGGGGAGCUGGAUCCGACGACUACCUAAUGGAAACCAGACUUCUGUGAACGCGGAGGAACAGGCUGAGAAAGGGCCGGCUUUCUCUGGAAUAGUUUAGAUUGUCGUUAUUUUUUCAUUGGAAUGCAGAUGACGUGCUAAAUAUAACAGUUAAAUGUCGUGUAA